GAGGGGCAAGCGUUGUUCGGAAUUACUGGGCGUAAAGGGCGCGUAGGCGGCCUGCUAAGUCGAACGUGAAAUCCCUGGGCUCAACCCAGGAACUGCGUCCGAUACUGGUUGGCUUGAAUCCGGGAGAGGGACGUGGAAUUCCAGGUGUAGCGGUGAAAUGCGUAGAUAUCUGGAGGAACACCGGUGGCGAAGGCGACGUCCUGGACCGGCAUUGACGCUGAGGCGCGAAAGCCAGGGGAGCAAACGGGAUUAGAUACCCCGGUAGUCCUGGCCCUAAACGAUGAAUGCUUGGUGUGGCGGGUAUCGAUCCCUGCCGUGCCGAAGCUAACGCAUUAAGCAUUCCGCCUGGGGAGUACGGUCGCAAGGCUG
rnacentral:rRNA from 1 species